rnacentral:lncRNA from 1 species
AAAAAAGCACGGAAUGAUUUUUAUAAGAAAAAACUUCAAAUACCACCCACGUGGUUUCGCACUUUUUCACUUUAGUACCAUAUGGUUUUAAGUGUAUCAAUUUAAUACCUCGUGCUUUCGCACUUUCUCACUUUAGUACCCUAUGGUUUAAAGUGCAUCAAUUUAGUACUCUGCGGCUUCAUUUUUUUCUUUUCGUUAGCUCCUCUGUUAAUAUUUCGUUAAAUUAUAUACAAAAAACUUCAGAUAUCCUAUCUAGAUUUAUCGAAUAUUUACUUUAGUACCCUUUAGUUUUAAUUUUGUGACUGAUUUUUUGUCCUCCGUUAAUAUUUCGUUAAAUUAUAUACAAAAAACUUCAGAUAUCCUAUCUAGAUUUAUCGAAUAUUUACUUUAGUACCCUUUAGUUUUAACUUUGUCAUUGAUUUAACGAAAAAAACUAGUGAAAUUGAUAAUAAAACGAGAAAAAUAAAAUCACAAGGUACUAACUUGAUACACUUUAAACUAUAGAGUACUAAAGUGAGAAAGUGCAAAACCACAAGGAUUAACUUGAUAUAUUUUAAACCACAGAAUACUAAAGUGAGAAAGUGGAAACCACGGGAGGGUAUUUGAAGUUUA